AACCCUCAGACUGAAGCAGAGUUUGUCCUUCAUGGCUGAGACGCUGCAGUUCCUCCACCUGUCAGUGAAAAAUUAAUGAUGCUUUCCCAGGAAAUAACAGAACAAUCACAAACUACAGUCUGCCUUCAGCAGGUGAAGGUGAAACCAGCCUCCUCACAUCCGGCUCGGACUGAAUGAAAGCUUCAGCUCAGAGUUUCAGGUUUUUCACUUUGACAGUUUGAAAGACUUUCAGGCUUCACCUUUUGUCCGACGUGCAGAGACUGAAGGCCCAGAGGAUGAACUGAGCUUUGAUUACCGGCCGUGAUGGAGCUGCUGCUGAGGGCGAAACGGUGAUUUGCUAACCUGCUGAAGUCAUUCAUGUAGCAGGACAUCUCAUUAAUGACAAACAGCAGUCAACAGCCUCACAUGUUUACUCAUUGUUUUUAUAGAAAUGGCUCAAAAUGUUCUAUUUUACAGUGUGAUGCUGAAUGAUAAAAAUCUAAAUGUUUGCGCCUGUGCGAUAAAACUUCAGUUGCAUCUUAAUUAACAGUUAAUAAUUCAGUAAAUUAAAGGGAUACCUGCUCUGAACUUCAUCUCAGGGUCAGCAUGUGCAGUGAAUGGAAGCAGUCGGACAUGAGAGCACAAAGCAAACAGUUGAAUGCUGAGAAAAACCUCAGAUUUGACCGUGAAAUUAAAAUGCGAUGAUGAAAGUGCACUUUGAUGCUGUUGUGUGACUUCACUGUGGCUCAGCCCACCAUAAGGAUGCGAAGGAGGAAUGUUUCCACUCAGUAUGGACUCCUGCUGCUGCUGCU